rnacentral:rRNA from 1 species
ACGAAGGGGGCUAGCGUUGUUCGGAAUUACUGGGCGUAAAGCGCACGUAGGCGGGUUGUUAAGUCAGAUGUGAAAGCCCGAGGCUCAACCUCGGAACUGCAUUUGAAACUGGCAGCCUAGAGACCAGGAGAGGUUAGCGGAAUACCGAGUGUAGAGGUGAAAUUCGUAGAUAUUCGGUGGAACACCAGUGGCGAAGGCGGCUAACUGGACUGGUACUGACGCUGAGGUGCGAAAGUGUGGGGAGCAAACAGG